UACGUAGGGGGCAAGCGUUGUCCGGAAUCAUUGGGCGUAAAGAGCGCGUAGGCGGCCCUGUAAGUCCGCUGUGAAAGUCAAGGGCUCAACCCUUGAAUGCCGGUGGAUACUGCAGGGCUAGAGUCCGGAAGGGGCGAGUGGAAUUCCUGGUGUAGCGGUGAAAUGCGCAGAUAUCGGGAGGAACACCAAUUGCGAGGGCAGCUCGCUGGGACGUCACUGACGCUGAGACGCGAAAGCGUGGGGAGCAAACAGG
rnacentral:rRNA from 1 species